rnacentral:tRNA from 2 species
GUCUUAAUAGCUCAGCCGGAUAGAGCGUAUGAUUCCUAAUCAUAAGGCCGCAGGUUCAAGUCCUGCUUAGGACACCA